UACGUAGGGGGCAAGCGUUGUCCGGAAUCAUUGGGCGUAAAGCGCGCGUAGGCGGCCCGGUAAGUCCGCUCUGAAAGUCCAGGGCUCAACCCUGGAAAGCGGGUGGAUACUGUCGGACUAGAGUACAGAAGGGGCAACUGGAAUUCUCGGUGUAGCGGUGAAAUGCGUAGAUAUCCGGAGGAACACCGGUGGCGAAGGCGGCUUCCUGGACCGAUACUGACGCUGAGGCGCGAAAGCUAGGGGAGCAAACGGG
rnacentral:rRNA from 1 species